rnacentral:rRNA from 1 species
CUACGGGUGGCACCAGUGAGGAAUAUUGCACAAUGGGGGCAACCCUGAUGCAGCAACGCCGCGUGGAGGAUGACGCAUUUCGGUGUGUAAACUCCUUUUAUCAGAGAAGAACCAUGACGGUAUCUGAUGAAUAAGCUCCGGCUAACUCCGUGCCAGCAGCCGCGGUAAUACGGAGGGAGCAAGCGUUAUUCGGAAUCACUGGGCGUAAAGGACGCGUAGGCCGGUCUGUAAGUCAGGUGUGAAAUGCAAUGGCUCAACCAUUGAACUGCACCUGAAACUGCGGACCUAGAGUAUGGAAGGGGCAGAUGGAAUUAGUGGUGUAGGGGUAAAAUCCGUAGAUAUCACUAGGAAUACCGAAAGCGAAGGCGAUCUGCUGGGACAUAACUGACGCUGAGGCGUGAAAGCGUGGGGAGCAAACAGGAUUAGAUACCCGAGUAGUC